rnacentral:misc_RNA from 1 species
GGCUCCAAAUUUUAGUUAGAUGAGGCUUUUGCAGUUUGGUAUUUUAGUUGCUUUGGCGUCGGGCCUCUCGGCGAUCCUCAUCUGUAUCACCGGCGUAUCCAAUCUAAAUGUGAUCAACCAGCUAUUGAAUGAAGAUAUAGAAGCAUUGGAGUCUCUAAAGAGCAGUUUCCUGAAGUGCGUGGUAAUUCUUUGGAGCUCACUGUUGUAUAUUUCAAAUGCAUCUUCAGUGCUAUAAAAGAUCCUAAAACUGGAGAACUUGAAGGUUUAUCAUUUGAAUUUAAUCUGUGUGAAGCUGUGGUUACAUGGGAACAGUAAGUUGAUUGUCAGGUGCAGAAUAGUACUACUAUACUCACAAGGGAGUUC